rnacentral:rRNA from 1 species
AAUAGCUCACUAGUCGAGUGACUCUGCGCCGAAAAUGUACCGGGGCUAAAUACACCACCGAAGCUGCGGAUUGAUACCAAUGGUAUCAGUGGUAGGGGAGCGUUCUAAGGACAGUGAAGUCAGACCGUAAGGACUGGUGGAGUGCUUAGAAGUGAGAAUGCCGGUAUGAGUAGCGAAAGACGGGUGAGAAUCCCGUCCACCGAAUGCCUAAGGUUUCCUGAGGAAGGCUCGUCCGCUCAGGGUUAGUCAGGACCUAAGCCGAGGCCGACAGGCGUAGGCGAUGGACAACAGGUUGAUAUUCCUGUACCACCUCUUUAUCGUUUGAGCAAUGGAGGGACGCAGAAGGAUAGAAGAAGCGUGCGAUUGGUUGUGCACGUCCAAGCAGUUAGGCUGAUAAGUAGGCAAAUCCGCUUAUCGUAAAGGCUGAGCUGUGAUGGGGAAGCUCCUUAUGGAGCGAAGUCUUUGAUUCCCCGCUGCCAAGAAAAGCUUCUAGCGAGAUAAAAGGUGCCUGUACCGCAAACCGACACAGGUAGGCGAGGAGAGAAU